CGGGCGCCGCGCCAUGGCUGCUCUGAGGCACAGCCGACCCCGCUGCAUCCGGGCCGCGCUCAGCUCCGGCUUCCAGAAGAGGCAGAGGAACGCCUUCCGUCGCUUCAAGGUGAAGGGGCCCGCGCCCCCUUGGGGUCUGCUGUCCUGCUUCUCGGCGACACCGGCACGGCCCCCCCAACACCACAUGUGUUCAAACCCCUGUCUUUUGAUCGAGGAAGAGAACAAGGGCUGCUUUCUCCCCAGCAGCCUGGAGGGUUCUAGAAUAUCUGAUACCAGCCCCGGGGGCUCUGAGGGGCCCGAGCCAGGCCUGGCCGCUGUCUGGGCCUCGCUGCCUGUGCAGGGGAAGGGGUGAGGACAGGUGAUCUAGUAUCUUCCAUGCUCCUCUGGCUCGGGGUCGAGAGCGAGCGCCGGGUUCUCCGCCCCGGUGUGACGGGAUCACGUCCGGCUGCCGAAUCUGCCUUCUUGCCGCGGCCUGGUUCUGCCUUUCCUGUUCCCGGCCCUGCUCCUUCUCGCCCACGCCGGGGGCUGCCGUCCUCCGGGUGUCCCCGCGGAGGGAACUGUGAGAGUGGCUUCCCCGGGUCCCUUGCCCUUGGACACUGGGCUGCUGCCGCCUGCCCUCACGCAAGGGAUUAUUCAGCCUUUUUUCUUUUGACUUCCCCAGGCCAACCACAGAAAGAAUCACAUGGACUUAAUCGAAGGUAUCUGGAGAGAGUUUUUAGAUCCUUACGAUGGCGAUUCGGACGAUCCCCCCCGUCAUCCCGCCUCCGGCUUCAGCGACUGUCCUCGGGGGGCCGUGAGCCGUCCGGGGUCUCCGCGCGCACUCAGGAGCGGGGGCCCCGGAGGAACCAGCUCGGAGGAGCCCCCCGCGUCGAAGCCCCCAGGCCGCCCGAGCCGGGGCCCCGCGCCCCUGGAGGCCGACGACGUGGACAUGCAGCCCGCGGAGGCCGGCAGCCCCCAGGCCCGGGGGCGGGCGGCCAGGCGCUCGGGGGUCCCCGGACGAGGACUGCGGGAUGUGGGAGGACCGCUGGCCCCGGGCGCCCGGCCCCCUCCUCCCCGCCGCGGGGCCCCCCGAGCCUGGCAGACACGCGCAGGGCCGCGGCAGAGCGGCCCGGCCACCCCCCAGGCUCGGCAGCGAGAAGGACAAGGGGCCCAAGCUCACCCUCUCCAAGAGGAAACUGGAACUUUUACUUGCGGAGCCUGAGAAAACGAAGAGAAAGAGGCAGUAUGUGGCCCAGAGCGAGGCAUGAACUGAGCACGAGUCUGGUGCCGGCGGCCCACACGCCCCAGGACCGCGCUGUUCCCCAGAGCCAAUAA
rnacentral:lncRNA from 1 species